rnacentral:rRNA from 1 species
AUCCUGGCUCAGAUUGAACGCUGGCGGAAUGCUUUACACAUGCAAGUCGAACGGCAGCACGGGGCAACCUGGUGGCGAGUGGCGAACGGGUGAGUAAUACAUCGGAACGUGCCCAGUCGUGGGGGAUAACGUAGCGAAAGCUACGCUAAUACCGCAUACGAUCUACGGAUGAAAGCGGGGGACUCGCAAGAGCCUCGCGCGAUUGGAGCGGCCGAUGGCAGAUUAGGUAGUUGGUGGGGUAAAGGCUCACCAAGCCUGCGAUCUGUAGCUGGUCUGAGAGGACGACCAGCCACACUGGAACUGAGACACGGUCCAGACUCCUACGGGAGGCAGCAGUGGGGAAUUUUGGACAAUGGGCGCAAGCCUGAUCCAGCCAUUCCGCGUGCAGGAUGAAGGCCUUCGGGUUGUAAACUGCUUUUGUACGGAACGAAAAGGUUUUCUCUAAUACAGAGGGCUCAUGACGGUACCGUAAGAAUAAGCACCGGCUAACUACGUG